AAAUUGAAGAGUUUGAUCAUGGCUCAGAUUGAACGCUGGCGGCAGGCCUAACACAUGCAAGUCGAACGGUAACAGGAAGCAGCUUGCUGCUUCGCUGACGAGUGGCGGACGGGUGAGUAAUGUCUGGGAAACUGCCUGAUGGAGGGGGAUAACUACUGGAAACGGUGGCUAAUACCGCAUAACGUCGCAAGACCAAAGAGGGGGACCUUCGGGCCUCUUGCCAUCAGAUGUGCCCAGAUGGGAUUAGCUAGUUGGUGAGGUAACGGCUCACCAAGGCGACGAUCCCUAGCUGGUCUGAGAGGAUGACCAGCCACACUGGAACUGAGACACGGUCCAGACUCCUACGGGAGGCAGCAGUGGGGAAUAUUGCACAAUGGGCGCAAGCCUGAUGCAGCCAUGCCGCGUGUAUGAAGAAGGCCUUCGGGUUGUAAAGUACUUUCAGCGGGGAGGAAGGUGUUGUGGUUAAUAACCGCAGCAAUUGACGUUACCCGCAGAAGAAGCACCGGCUAACUCCGUGCCAGCAGCCGCGGUAAUACGGAGGGUGCAAGCGUUAAUCGGAAUUACUGGGCGUAAAGCGCACGCAGGCGGUCUGUCAAGUCGGAUGUGAAAUCCCCGGGCUCAACCUGGGAACUGCAUUCGAAACUGGCAGGCUUGAGUCUUGUAGAGGGGGGUAGAAUUCCAGGUGUAGCGGUGAAAUGCGUAGAGAUCUGGAGGAAUACCGGUGGCGAAGGCGGCCCCCUGGACAAAGACUGACGCUCAGGUGCGAAAGCGUGGGGAGCAAACAGGAUUAGAUACCCUGGUAGUCCACGCCGUAAACGAUGUCUACUUGGAGGUUGUGCCCUUGAGGCGUGGCUUCCGGAGCUAACGCGUUAAGUAGACCGCCUGGGGAGUACGGCCGCAAGGUUAAAACUCAAAUGAAUUGACGGGGGCCCGCACAAGCGGUGGAGCAUGUGGUUUAAUUCGAUGCAACGCGAAGAACCUUACCUGGUCUUGACAUCCACGGAAGUUUUCAGAGAUGAGAAUGUGCCUUCGGGAACCGUG
rnacentral:rRNA from 1 species